GACGAACGCUGGCGGCGUGCUUAACUCAUGCAAGUCGAACGGAAAGGCCCUGCUUUUGUGGGGUGCUCGAGUGGCGAACGGGUGAGUAACACGUGAGUAACCUGCCCUUGAUUUUGGGAUAACUUCAGGAAACUGGGGCUAAUACCGGAUAGGAGCUCCUGCUGCAUGGUGGGGGUUGGAAAGUUUCGGCGGUUGGGGAUGGACUCGCGGCUUAUCAGCUUGUUGGUGGGGUAGUGGCUUACCAAGGCUUUGACGGGUAGCCGGCCUGAGAGGGUGACCGGCCACAUUGGGACUGAGAUACGGCCCAGACUCCUACGGGAGGCAGCAGUGGGGAAUAUUGCACAAUGGGCGGAAGCCUGAUGCAGCAACGCCGCGUGCGGGAUGACGGCCUUCGGGUUGUAAACCGCUUUCGCCUGUGACGAAGCGUGAGUGACGGUAAUGGGUAAAGAAGCACCGGCUAACUACGUG
rnacentral:rRNA from 1 species